rnacentral:misc_RNA from 1 species
GAUGAAGAACGCAGCGAAAUGCGAUACUUGGUGUGAAUUGCAGAAUCCCGUGAACCAUCGAGUCUUUGAACGCAAGUUGCGCCUCAAGCCAUUAGGUUGAGGGCACGACUGCCUGGGCGUCACAUAUCGUUGCCUGAUGCCAGUUUCCUCGUGAUGGGUGACUGUGCAGGGCGAAUGAUGGCUUCCCGUGAGCAUUGUUGCCUCAUGGUUGGUUGAAAAUUGAGUCCUUGGUAGGGAGCGCCGUGAUAGAUGGUGGUUGAGUGACGAACGAGACCCAAUCAUGUGAGACCCCUACCGAAUUUGGCCUUCAUGACCCACAUGCGUCUUUGGAACGCUCAUGACGAGACCUCAGGUCAGGCGGGGCUACCCGCUGAGUUUAAGCAUAUCAAUAAGCGGAGGA